AUACGGAGGAUCCGAGCGUUAUCCGGAUUUAUUGGGUUUAAAGGGAGCGUAGGCGGGAGAUCAAGUCAGCUGUGAAAUGUAGGCGCUCAACGUGUGCACUGCAGUUGAAACUGGUUUUCUUGAGUGCGUAAGGGGCAGGCGGAAUUCGUCGUGUAGCGGUGAAAUGCUUAGAUAUGCUGAAGAACUCCGAUCGCGAAGGCAGCUUGCCGGGCCGCAACUGACGCUGAAGCUCGAAGGUGCGGGUAUCGAACAGGAUUAGAUACCCUGGUAGUCCGCACAGUAAACGAUGGAUACUCGCUGUCGGCGAUAUACGGUCGGUGGCCAAGCGAAAGCGUUAAGUAUCCCACCUGGGGAGUACGCCGGCAACGGUGAAACUCAAAUGAAUUGACGGGG
rnacentral:rRNA from 1 species